UUCAUACGGGUCUGUGGUUGAAAGUCGAGGCCAGUCGCAGGCAAAACGAUCCACGUAAGUAGUGCAACGACAUUAUGAGCAUGGUGCGGCUUAGAUGUAAGACCUACCGAUAAAAUCGAGAGGAGUAGUAGUGGGGAGCCACGGGCUUAGGAGCGAACCUUCCAGUAGGCGAGUGUGGGGGCAAAGACCAGGUCAGCCGUAUGUA
rfam:Veillonella sp. CAG:933 genomic scaffold, scf193